UGGACUCUACGCCUCACCCCCAGAUCUGCAUCGGAAUGCAGAAAAGAUCUUUAAAAAAAAAAGUUUUGAAUUCCUCAAUGAUUUUUCUUCUGGAAAGGCGGCUUAGGAUAAUUAUUUCAGCUUUAUUGAGGGCAGAUUAGUUGAAGUCUGGAAGCUGCGUUUCAAUACGCGUUGUACAUGGGGCCGACAAUGUCG
rnacentral:lncRNA from 1 species